GUUGAGGUCUCCUCAGAGGGGGAUUUUCCUGGAGCAGCAGAUGGUAGGAAACGCCUCAUAGCAUAAUGUGGUUUUGCUUUACUCACAGACUGUUUAUUAGAUCUGCGGGAGAGAACUAUUUUUUUUCC
rnacentral:snoRNA from 1 species